AGAGUUUUAAGUUAUAUAUAAACUAGUAACCUUCAAAGUUACCAAAAAUAGUAAUAUUAAAUUUUA
rnacentral:tRNA from 1 species